GACGAACGCUGGCGGCGUGCUUAACACAUGCAAGUCGAACGGAAAGGCCCUGCUUUUGUGGGGUGCUCGAGUGGCGAACGGGUGAGUAACACGUGAGUAACCUGCCCUUGACUUUGGGAUAACUUCAGGAAACUGGGGCUAAUACCGGAUAGGAGCUCCUGCUGCAUGGUGGGGGUUGGACAGUUUCGGCGGUUGGGGAUGGACUCGCGGCUUAUCAGCUCGUUGGUGGGGUAGUGGCUUACCAAGGCUUUGACGGAUAGUCGGCCUGAGAGGGUGACCGGGCACAUUGGGAAUGAGAUAAGGCCCAGACUCCUACGGGGGGCAGCAGUGCGGAAUAUUGCACUAUGGGCGAAAGCCUGAUGCAGCAACGCCGCGUGCGGGAUGACGGCCUUCUGGUUGUAAACCGCUUUCGUCUGUGACGAAGCGUGGGUGACGGUAAUGAGUAAAGAAGCACCGGCUAACUACGUG
rnacentral:rRNA from 1 species